CCUACGGGCGGCAGCAGUGGGGGAUAUUGCACAAUGGGGGAAACCCUGAUGCAGCGACGCCGCGUGGGUGAAGAAGCGCCUCGGCGCGUAAAGCCCUGUCAGCAGGGAAGAAAAUGACGGUACCUGAAGCAGAAGCCCCGGCUAACUACGUGCCAGCAGCCGCGGGAAUACGUAGGGGGCAAGCGUUAUCCGGAUUUACGGGGUGUAAAGGGGGCGCAGACGGCGAUGCAAGCCAGGAGGGAAAGCCCGGGGGCGAACCCCGGGACUGCUCUUGGAACUGCGUGGCUAGAGUGCAGGAGGGGCAGGCGGAAUUCCUGGUGUAGCGGUGAAAUGCGUAGAUAUCAGGAGGAACACCGGUUGCGAAGGCGGCCUGCUGGACUGCAACUGACGUUGAGGCCCGAAAGCGUGGGGAGCGAACAGGAUUAGAUACCCUGGUAGUC
rnacentral:rRNA from 1 species